rnacentral:misc_RNA from 1 species
UUGCCCGUUUAUAUAAUAUUGCCUUGGAAGCUAUUGACGAUGAGAAAAAGAAUGUUUAAAGGCAGCCUACAUUAAUAGUUGUAUACAUACCCUAUUUCUUUCUUUUAGCAACCCUUUGCUCUUUUGCCUCAUAUAUAAAAAUACAAACAUAAUUAAAUCAUUCUUUUUUGUGAUUUUUUUUAUAUGUAAUUUGAGAAGUGUAAGAUGUUGGGUAUAUAAAAUAAUCCAAAGGGGUGUACUGUA